CCAACGGGAGAGUGUCUCCUGAAUGAAGGUUGUUUUCUGUGAGGGAGUGGUCUGUAGCUAGGAAUCUUAUCACCAAUUGGGUGUGUCAACCCUUUCCUAUAUAUGAUUACAGAUAUUCCUAACAACGCUUUGUCUGGUGUUGCGAAGAACUUAUCAGGAGCAAUUUCACUGCUUCUAAGAACCAACAAAAGUAAAUUCCUAGUCCUCAGGUCUUCAGGCAGAAAAGCCUUGGAAAGAUAACUGGCAUACAUCCUCCAGAAUGGAUCAGUUUUGAAACAGGUUGCAUUGUGUGAGCAGUGAAUACAAAGAAUGCACAACUUUUGUUGGGAACUGCCUGUAAAGAGGGAGUCAUAGAAAUACAGAUCUAGAAGCUGGCAGACUUUGCAUGGCAAAAUCCCACUGGAUCAGACCUUGCACAGACUGCUAUUAUUCUACUGGGCAAAUAAUUUCUCAACUGAGAGACGCGCCGUGAGACCUAGGAGCUGUAUCAGAUGAUUUGUUUGGAUGUGGCAAGAUGUCUUUAAGUGGUGGUGUUUAUCUUUGUUCUGAUAUGUGCAGAUUAGGGAAGAGGUAGUCAUGGUAUAGUUGUUUAAAACUCCAAAUAUGUUUUAAAUAAUUGAUUUCAGUGCAUCUAAAGUAAAGAUCAGUUAUUCAAAACACAGUUAUAUUUGCAAAAAAUUCAGUGUGACAAAAUAAAUACUUAUCAAUAAUUUAAAACAUUUGUUGGCUUUUAAUGUUGCAAAAUGUGUAUCAGUAACAGUAGUAAAACAUAAAUACAAUUUAAUAGUUCCGUGUAUAUUUAACACAUAAGCAUGCUAUUGAGCUGAAAAAUCGGGUUUCAAUUUGGCAGUGGAGGAAUGAGUUCACAAAGUCAGCUUGUAAGUUCAUACCUGGUUUGCGAGAGGCAUCCACAAUCAUGUAUCUAUGAGAAGAAACUGAUGUUUGUCGAGAAUUCUUAAUUAUUCAUUGCAUUUACAAGACAGUGCUUCAUAAUAUGGUUCUCUUUCAUCAUAUCAAAUGAAGAAAUUUUGGGGGAGGCUAAGAGCCAGAACAUGCAGAGCAAAUUUUAAAAUGGAUGGAGGUAGCUGAAGGAGAAUUUCUCUGAACUGGUAGGAUUUCGAUGCAAUGUACCAAGAGUGUACUACCUGUUUUCUGAAAGCUAAGGAAAAUGCUUUUAGGGACAUCUCAGGGUGUUAGAGGUGGAAAGAAAUAUUGUUAAGCUCAACUGUUUAUUGGAGUGAGGACUAGACCACCUCCUUGGAGCAGAAAUGAGGGCAGGAUUUCUCUAGCUCUACUUGUUUCAGAAGCUCAGCAGCUGGGCCCAGUGCCUGUGGCCACUGCUGCUCUCUGCUCCUGAGAGCCACACACACUAUGAGCCCACUGCUAGGGAGUUUUAAUUCCAUGCCUGCAUCCUAGCUACUGAUGAAUUAAAAAAAAGGUGAGGUAUAAUUCUUCUUAUUCUAUGAAAGAGGCAGUUGGCAACCCUUCCUUGGGCAGAAUUUCUGCUGACUUCAUCGAAUGUUUGUUUGAAAUAUGGACAACAGAACUUGCACCGGAAGAACAUGUAGACUUGACACAUUCAUAAUGUAGUUAAGUUGCCUGCAUGUAUAAUGUUCCUUUCCUGCUGUAAAAUGACUGUCUUUCAAAAUCCACUUCAGAUAUUGUAAGCUCCUGCCCCAUAGUGAGAUUGGUUCUGGCAGAAGUAAAUAUAAAUGGAUAUAAUGUUUUGUAGUUUGUAGUCUAUAGGGCUGAUUUUGUCUGUGUGCCUAUUAUAUACCGUAAUAAUACAGUUGGCUUCCUUGGAAGUAAUUGUUGAUUACUGUAAUUUGAAGACUUGCCUAUAUGAAGUACAUUUAAGAACUGAAUUGGGAUGUGAACAUAAAUCAUGUUAGCUCUUCAAGCCCCUGUGGAUCCUCUUGCCCUGACUGCCUUCAUGGAGUUUGGGAUAAUCCACUUUCAAAGUUAAUUAGCAUCCUAAUUUGUACUGUGCUAAUUUUCUCAUAGUCAACAGGAUAAA